CAGUCGCCACGGUAAUACGGAGGGGGCAAGCGUUAUCCGGAAUUAUUGGGCGUAAAGCGCGCGCAGGCGGAUCAGUUAGUCUGUCUUAAAAGUUCGGGGCUUAACCCCGUGAUGGGAUGGAAACUGCUGAUCUAGAGUAUCGGAGAGGAAAGUGGAAUUCCUAGUGUAGCGGUGAAAUGCGUAGAUAUUAGGAAGAACACCAGUGGCGAAGGCGACUUUCUGGACGAAAACUGACGCUGAGGCGCGAAAGCCAGGGGAGCGAACGGGAUUAGAUACCCCCGUAGUCCCUGUCUCUUAUACC
rnacentral:rRNA from 1 species